AUUCUUUUAUUAUUUUUUUCAACGAGAAACAAUUGUAUUCGCUGGAAUCCCCUUUGAUCUCUGAAUAAGUAUCUUGCCUUUAAUUAACUUACAUUCGUAAAAUUUGCACUACUUUCAUAUUAGCAAUUUGUGGUUUCGGAUUGUUACGAAAUAUCAUUCUGUUCUUGGGUUCAUAUCAUCCACGUGUCAUUCAUUCUGGUCUUUUCAUGUUGACUUCUCUCAGCUUGCAUCGUUGAAUCGUUACAUUCUCGAUUCUUUACAUCACAUCA